rnacentral:rRNA from 1 species
AAAAACAUGUCCGUAUGAAAAGUUGUAUACGGUCUGGCCUGCCCACUGACAUUAGUUGAAGGGCCGCGGUAUUCUGACCGUGCGAAGGUAGCAUAAUAAUUAGUCUCCUAAUUAGAGGCUGGUAUGAAUGGUCUGACAAGAUGGAACCUGUCUCCAUACAAUAAAUAUAAAUUAAUAUUUAAGUAAAAAAGCUUAAAUAAAAUGAAGGGACGAUAAGACCCUAUAAAGCUUUAUGAUGUUAAUUUUUUAAUGCAAAUUAUAUUAAUAUUAAAGUAUUAUAAAACUAUAUCAUUUUACUGGGGCGGUAAAAGUAUAAAAGAAUAACUGCUUUUGUUGAAAUUAAACAAUAAUAAUUGAAAAAUAAAUUGAUCCAUUAAUAAUGAUCACAAGAACAAGUUACUUUAGGGAUAACAGCGUAAUUUUUCUUGAGAGUUCAUAUCGAAAGAAAAGUUUGCGACCUCGAUGUUGAAUUAAGGAUACCUUAAGGUGCAGCAGUUUUAAAGGUGGAUCUGUUCGAUCUUUAAUUCCUUACGUGAUCU